UCUCGCCAAGUUGACCCAUUAUUUGGCCACCUUGUGCGGCGUGUGACUAUGGUGUCCGGGUAAGUGGCUGACGUGGCAGGCGUCCCGGGAAUGGGAGAAGAGAUGGGUAUAUAUAUGUAUUACCUGAAAGCUGAGGGCAGUUGUUGCCUUGGAUCAUGCAGAGAGUAUGCAGCCACACCCAUGCCUUAGAUGUGUGUAAUUCAAGUGGAGAAGACACAAGCCAGUGGUCACAAUAUCAACACUUGAGUGUUCUGUAAACGAUUGUUUGCCAUGUGCAAGGAAAUGGCAGAGGCAAAAUGCCGGCAGCUUAUGGAAAAAUAAUUUAUAAAAAAAAUGAUGGAU
rnacentral:lncRNA from 1 species